UGGGGGAAUAUUGCACAAUGGGCGCAAGCCUGAUGCAGCCAUGCCGCGUGUAUGAAGAAGGCCUUCGGGUUGUAAAGUACUUUCAGUCGGGAGGAAGGUGGUAAGGUUAAUAACCUUAUCAAUUGACGUUACCGACAGAAGAAGCACCGGCUAACUCCGUGCCAGCAGCCGCGGUAAUACGGAGGGUGCAAGCGUUAAUCGGAAUUACUGGGCGUAAAGCGCACGCAGGCGGUUGAUUGAGUCAGAUGUGAAAUCCCCGGGCUUAACCCGGGAAUUGCAUCUGAUACUGGUCAGCUAGAGUCUUGUAGAGGGGGGUAGAAUUCCAUGUGUAGCGGUGAAAUGCGUAGAGAUGUGGAGGAAUACCGGUGGCGAAGGCGGCCCCCUGGACAAAGACUGACGCUCAGGUGCGAAAGCGUGGGGAGCAAACAGGAUUAGAUAAGGG
rnacentral:rRNA from 1 species